GUUGGUGACAGCGGAGGGAUCAUUACC
rnacentral:rRNA from 1 species